CAGUAACGGCGAGUGAAGCGGCAACAGCUCAAAUUUGAAAUCUGGCCCCCCGCGGGCCCGAGUUGUACUUUGGAGAGGACGCUUCUGGCGCGGCGCCGUCCGAGUUCCCUGGAACGGGACGCCGGAGAGGGUGAGAGCCCCGUACGGGCGGCCGCCUAGCCUCUGCGAAGCUCCUUCGACGAGUCGAGUAGUUUGGGAAUGCUGCUCAAAAUGGGAGGUAAAUUUCUUCUAAAGCUAAAUACCGGCCAGAGACCGAUAGCGCACAAGUAGAGUGAUCGAAAGAUGAAAAGCACUUUGAAAAGAGGGUCAAACAGUACGUGAAAUUGUUGAAAGGGAAGCGCCUGUGGCCAGACUUGCGCCCCGCGGACCACCCGGCGCCUCGCGCGCCGGGGCACGCCAGCGGGGCGCAGGCCAGCAUCGGCUCUCUCGGGGGGACAAAGGCCGCGGGAACGUAGCGCCCUCGCGGCGUAUUAUAGCCCGCGGCGCCAUGCCCCCGGGGGGGCCGAGGACCGCGCUCCGGCAAGGAUGCUGGCGUAAUGGCCACCGGCGACCCGUCUUGAAACACGGACCAAGGAGUCAAGCAUUGGGGCGAGUGUCUGGGUGGCAAGCCCGCACGCGGAAUGAAAGUGAACGCAGGUGGGAGCUUCGGCGCACCACCGACCGAUCCUGAUGUCCUCGGAUGGAUUUGAGUAGGAGCCCCGCCGCUUGGACCCGAAAGAUGGUGAACUAUGCCUGUAUAGGGUGAAGCCAGAGGAAACUCUGGUGGAGGCCCGCAGCGUUCUGACGUGCAAAUCGAUCGUC
rnacentral:rRNA from 1 species